UACGUAGGGUGCGAGCGUUAAUCGGAAUUACUGGGCGUAAAGCGUGCGUAGGCGGUUCGUUAAGUUCGUUGUGAAAGCCCCGGGCUCAACCUGGGAAUGGCAUUGGAAACUGGCGGGCUUGAGUGUGGCAGAGGGGGGUGGAAUUCCGCGUGUGGCAGUGAAAUGCGUAGAGAUGCGGAGGAACACCGAUGGCGAAGGCAGCCCCCUGGGCUGACACUGACGCUCAGGCACGAAAGCGUGGGGAGCAAACAGG
rnacentral:rRNA from 1 species